ensembl:lncRNA
CGGGGUGCGGGCGGUGGGCGCCCGGGCGGCGCGGAGGGGGAGUUGGCAGCUCCUCGACAGAGCGGGAGGGCGCUGCGAAGCGGGGGGACCGGCCGCUGCGAGGCACGGAGGGAUACGCCGGGAAUGAUGUUACAUAUCGUGCGCGUUACGGCUGCCGGGCUGAGAGGGGCCGGGGCUCCAGGCGCACGGAGGAAAGCGGGGGGCGAGGGGAUGCCGGCAGGUAAGGGCGCGGGGUGCAGGCCGGGAAGGGGAGAUUUCCCCCCUUGCCCCCCCCCCCCCCCGCGCCGGGAGCAAAGAGGUGGGGAGAAAAGUGGUGCGGCAAAACCGCUGCUCGGUUUGGUUUGUUCUAGCUUUCAAUGAAAUCUAAUUCAUAAAUUGAACGUGCUCGGACUCAGAAGACUAAUUCAUCCCCUAAAACAAACGCAUCAGUGAUUGCAGGCACCCAAACGUGACGAGCGUCUCAAUAUGCCAAGGAUCCAGAGAAAACAAAUCCAUUCAGCAGCCCGAACCGUAAUUAAAACCGCUGCCAAGAAGAGGGGGCCGCAAGCAGGAUGUUACCAACGCUAUCAACUUGCUGCGGGGCCGGGGCGAUACACACAGAGAACGUCAGCGUUCGGAUAACGCGAGGAACCGCGAUUCCCGGACGUCGCCGCCUCGGCAGCGCCAGGCUGCUGCGGCCGGACCUGCACGGGAGGGAGCGGCGUGGCGGCCGGGACGGCGGGCAGCGAGCGGGCCGAGCGCCGGGGCCGAGCGGGACCGCUGGGCGCAAACGCACUCCGCCGCCACCCGCGCUGCCGGGCGAACGCAGCCCGCUUCUGCUGCCGGCGACUCGUCCGGACGCCGCUAAACGCUCCGGAUACUUCGGAUUAGUCGAUUGCCCGAGGGAGUGCUGCAGUGUGUUUAUUUAAUAGAGAAAGCACAGUACGGCAAAACCGCUUAGCACUGAGGAGCGGCAAACGCGGACGGGGUUUGCGGUGACUGGGGAGGCGGGCGGGGGAGGGUACGCGCGUCUGGAUGGAGCUGGAAGGGCGCCCUGUUGCUCCACACGCGCCGGCAGCCUCCGGGCCCGGGGUGGUUACUGCGCACCUCGGAGGGGGGGAAAAGCGACGGGCACGUGAAACGAGAACCACCUUUCACAAAUAAAUCACUCGUUAACAGCUCUUACUUACAGUCCCUGUCCUAAAUACGCGAUUUCACACUGAUCGAUACGGAAUGAUUAAAUACCAUUCGCCAUAUUUCACGUAAUAAAAACACUUAAUCCUGAUAAUUGGCUUCUGGGAC